rnacentral:rRNA from 1 species
GAUUCUGGCUCAGGAUGUUUAACGCUAGCUACAGGCUUAACACAUGCAAGUCGAGGGGCAGCAUGGUCUUAGCUUGCUAAGGCCGAUGGCGACCGGCGCUACGGGUGAGUAACGCGUAUCCAACCUGCCUUACACUCUUGGACAGCCUUCUGAAAGGGAGAUUAAUACAAGAUGUUAUCAUGAGUAAGCAUUUUCGCAUGAUUAAAGGUUUACCGGUGUAAGAUGGGGAUGCGUUCCA